AUGCCCAUGUUUCCCAAAGGUCGGAGGAAAGAGACCCCGCAGGCACCACCAUCCUCCACUGAGCGUCCCUGCCUCUGCCCUUUCAGCCAUUGCCCUUCCACACAGAGUGCAGGCAAAGCGGGGUCAGCACAUCCCUCCCACCGAUUCUCGCCGUCGCAGCUGCCCGACUCCAAAAUGGCAGCCGCGCACCGCGCGCACCCGAGCGGCCGGACCUGCCUGACUCCCCGGCCGCCCCGCUCUCGCUCCCUGCUUCCCUCCUCGGGCCUUCACCUUCCCGCCUCCGGAUUGGCCGCUGGGAAUCCCGCCCCUCCGAGGCCCCGCCUGUUAUUGGUCACGGUAGGCUGCCCUUCAGAGAGGCGUGCCCCCGCCCGCCCCCCGCCCCCCUCCCCGGGAGGUAUUUUCCAUUCCGGUGGGGGUUGGGGGGAGGGGGGAGGGGAAGAGGGUGAAGAGGGGGAGGCGGCCGGGGAAGGGGGUGGGGGCCUGGCGGGGGCAUCCGGCGGAGCUGGGGUCCCCGGGCUCCGUCCGGAGGAAGCGAGGCUGCGCUGGCUGGACCAUCAGAGGGGACGGGACGCGCCGGCGGGCGGACUCGCCCAGUCGGUGGUGACUGCGCCGUCCGGGCCCGUCCUGCCUGGCCGCAGGUGCCCUGGAUGAGGCCGCCCCGCGCGCCGCGCCCGGUCUCCUAAUCCAUGGAUAAG
rnacentral:lncRNA from 1 species